UACGUAGGGUGCGAGCGUUAAUCGGAAUUACUGGGCGUAAAGCGUGCGCAGGCGGUUUGCUAAGACCGAUGUGAAAUCCCCGGGCUCAACCUGGGAACUGCAUUGGUGACUGGCAGGCUAGAGUAUGGCAGAGGGGGGUAGAAUUCCACGUGUAGCAGUGAAAUGCGUAGAGAUGUGGAGGAAUACCGAUGGCGAAGGCAGCCCCCUGGGCCAAUACUGACGCUCAUGCACGAAAGCGUGGGGAGCAUACAGG
rnacentral:rRNA from 1 species